rnacentral:rRNA from 1 species
CGGGGAAUAUUGGACAAUGGGCGAAAGCCUGAUCCAGCCAUGCCGCGUGAGUGAUGAAGGCCUUAGGGUUGUAAAGCUCUUUUAGUGGGGAUAAAAAGCCCAGGGCUAAUAACCUUGGGUCUUGAUCUAACCUACAGAAAAAGCACCGGCUAACUCU